rnacentral:rRNA from 1 species
GAUGAACGCUGGCGGCGUGCUUAACACAUGCAAGUCGAACGGAAAGGCCCCAGCUUGCUGGGGUACUCGAGUGGCGAACGGGUGAGUAACACGUGGGUGAUCUGCCCUGCACUUUGGGAUAAGCUUGGGAAACUGGGUCUAAUACCGAAUAUGACCACUUCUUGGAUGUUGUGGUGGAAAGCUCUUGCGGUGUGGGAUGAGCCUGCGGCCUAUCAGCUUGUUGGUGGGGUAAUGGCCUACCAAGGCGGCGACGGGUAUCCGGCCUGGGAGGGUGUACGGACAGAUUGGGACUGAGAUACGGCCGAGACUCCUACGGGAGGCAGCAGUGGGGAAUAUUGCACAAUGGGGGCAAGCCUGAUGCGGCGACGCCGCGUGGGGGAUGAAGGCCUUCGGGUUGUAAACUCCUUUCGCUAUCGACGAAGCCACUUGUGGUGACGGUAGGUAGAUAAGAAGCACCGGCUAACUACGUGCCAGCCGCCGCUGUAA